CCCUCCUUCCCUCCUUUCCUCCUUCCGUCCCUCCCUCCUUUCCCUUCUCUCUAUUUCUGCCCAGCCUCUGUCCUGCUCCCUGCAUUCCAGCUUCACUGAGCUGCUGUGGUCCCUGAAAGACAUGGUCCCUCAUCAUUCCCCAUCUCCGAGGUCACCUGUCUGGGAUGCCCUUUCUCAUGCUCCCUCCUUCCUCCCUCUGUGCUGUGUCUUCUGAGACCGCCCUCAGAGGCCACCUCUCCGCAUCCCUCCCUGACCUGGAGGACAUGUGCAUCCCUUCUCUGUGGCCACAUCACCACACAAAGACAGGGUUCUCUGCCCGAUGCCCGUAAAAAGCCAAUGAUCACACCACCAGCUUUUUCGAGGUCGGCCAGCCAGGAGGCGGGAGUCAGAGCUCUCAGAGGUCCAGGUGGUGGGUUGGUGGUCUCAACAGGCCUGAACUGGACAAGAGGCCUCUCAGUUCCUGAGACACAGCUCAGUCGCUCUUGGUAAGACGGUCAGUUUGAAUCGGUCCUGGUGGCCCGUGGUUACAGCCUCCCUGAGCUCUGGCCAUGGCCCUGUAUCCAGUUACUGGCGCUGGUCUGCGCUUACUCCGCUGUGUCUCUGCCCUUCUAGGAUACGGUGUGGACACUAGUUCAUACCUCCAGCUUCUCCUAGUACCGUGCCCAGGCUGGCAGACACAGUGGACACUUGCCGCCCAACUGACACGCUGAGGGUCGGAUGUGCCGCAUUUGCAGGUUACUGCCUGUUCCCUGUCAGAGGCAACAAAGCUGCUAGAGGUCGAGGAGGGCGUGGGUGUUGUGUAGACUGCGCUCGGGCUGCAGACGUGCGAGGACGGGCCCUGGGUGGUGCUGACAAACGAGGGGAACGAUUGAGUUCUGAGGGCUUUAUAAACACCCAGUAGAAGAUGUAUCGCCCCAGAUACGGUUUGUUUCUUAGUGAAAGUCAGCUCUAUGAAGGUGUAACUUCCGUACGAUAGAACACAGGCAUGUUAAGUGUGCGUCUGGUGAAUUUUGGAACAUGUCAGCACCUGGGUGGCCACGACCCCCAUUGAGAACUGGACUAUCUCGGCGUUAACCAGAUCUCCUGAAAUUCUCCAUCUGGCACAGGGUCCGCCUGCCCCACCUGCAGUGGGUCCUGUGCUUUGGGCUCUGGCCCCCGUGGGAGCAGCUGCAGUGGACGCUAGGGGGACACCAGGCUGGUCUUCAUCAGUCACAGAGACCACUCUCUGUCCAGAAGUAGGAGUGUGUGACACCUCUAUCCUCGUCACGCCUACGGCUGACCUCGACCGGUAACCACAGCCUGCGGUGCUCACAUUCCCAGGAGACAGCCCAGCAGUCCCGUCCCAGUUUGUCAGGAUUGCCCACCACGCACACGCUUCUCCUGUGUCUAGGUCCCAAUUCUGGCACAGGACGCACCACAGUGCUGCCACGUUCCUCCUCCUCUGGUCCCAGGCUUGGCACUGGCCACCCCACAGCAGCAUGUCUGUCAUGGUCUCCAGCUCAGCUGUGCUGGCUUGUGUUGUAUCACAGCUCUGCCCGAUCUUACAUACUUAUUCUAAAUCUCUCCUCCAAAUCAGGAGAGUACCUCGAAUAAGGAGGGGUCUCCAAUGGUUUGAGAGUCAGAGUUGCUUUGGAAACUAGAUGCAGGCCCCCCCGAGAGGCUCCAGUCCUGGAGUCCCCACAUGUCAUCCCGUGUUCAGAGAUGCGGGCACUACAGGCCUGAUGGGAGGGAGUGGCUGCCGUCCCUAGAUGUCCACCUGCGCUGCCCUCUCCCUGCUGGAGAGAGUGCCUUAGGGCAGAUGCUGUGACGAAGGUCAAAGUGACCUCUGCGUGUGAUGUCUGCCACUGGUGGCCCCAGUUGCGUAACUGCAAAGAGAACCCCAAGGAAGGGAGGGAGUCGCCCCAGGAUGAGGCGCCUGGUAGUUGCUCCUCUGGGUUGGCCCAUGGGCAAGGGACUCCCUGCGUGGUGGGUGUGGGGUUCCUGCCAAGUCACCGCCCAUAAGGCGUUAAUGAGGCGUUUGAGAUGAGGCCCCUAGUCUGGGGGUCUCCCCUUACUGGAGCCCCCUGAUCUGAAACUCCAAGGGGCCCUCCGGGGUCAGCUCCCUGUGGCCCCUUGUGUGGCACUCCAGGUGUCUCUGUGCACACUCGCCUCUGUGCUCUCCUGACCCCUGACCUCUGGACUGCGAAUGUGCAGGGAUGAACAUGGUGCGAGCCCAGAGCAUGGAGCAGCUGUGAAGGGACAGGCCUACAGGCCUGAUUCCCGAGCCUGGCAGGGCCGGCAGAGGAUCAAGAGCAGGCAGAGCCGAGCUGAGCCCUGACCCAGAAGGGAGAGGAGCGUCCCACUCCAGCAUGAGGGACCCCAUCCCCCCAGGGCGUGGCUGCUCCAGCCCUCCCUGCAGUUCAUUCUUUUAUCAGCAAAUGUCCCUGCAUGGGGCUUUGGGGAGAGCUGCUCUCUGGUUCCUGGGAGGUGCUCCCUCCGGGCACCCCUGGGUCCUGGCGUGGCCCCGAGAGGCUCAGAAUCACCCAGCAUUGUGGGGCUGGAGUCUGGAGCUCAGCCUCUCCCUCAGGCCUCCCUCAGGGGUCCUCUUGCCUCAGCUCACUUGAGAAGGCCAGUCCUUCCAGGUCUCCCAGGGCCUCCAGUGGUGUCAGAGCCUGACACUGGCCAGAAACCCCUCCCACGAAGAGACGCCAGGUGAGCGUCAACUCCAGCUACCCGGAACACCAGCCGGGCUCCAUCCUCUGCACCCUGUGAGUGGGGGUCUGCCUGGGGCUGCAGGCCCAGUGCGGGGCAGUGUCCGGCCUGAGAUGAGCAGACAGGAGGGCCACCCCGGCCCGCAGAGCAGCAGCUGUCUGCCCGCGCCUCGUUGCCUCUCGUGCAGGUGGCUUCACCCACACGUUGCACCGUGUGUACAGGGAGACAGUGGCGCUCUCCCGUGUGCACACACCACUCCUUCAGAAGCAGCACGUGCCCUUGAGCCUGACUCCGUCCCCAGGAGCCCGUGGAGGCACAGCAGGGCCUCUGGCCACCGCAGCAGGAGGAGCUGCAGCCUCUCUGUCAGCUGGUGGUGUCUCAGGGAAGCAGUGCAGAUGGGGUCUCUGGACCUGCUGGGGGCCUGGAGUGGUUUCUGAGCCCCAGGGAUGGUGAGAAGUGAGGUAGGAGGCCGGUGGAGGGAGGAACAGAGAUCCCAGGCUGGCAUUCGCAUCAGUGACCAGCCCUGCAGGCAGCUGUGGUCGAGGGCGCGCGUCUGACUGGAGCAGGUGCAGGGGUGAAGUUCUCUCAGGCAGACAAGCAUUCAGUCCCGUUUUCCCAGGUGUACUUAGCACGUCGGCACCUCUGCUAAUGGCAGCAGCUCCCUGCCCAGCCAGGGGACCCACCCGGAUGAUCCCCUCCCCCCUGGGCCCAGUGGGCAUCCUGCCGGAGAACUGGGGCCAGUAGGCUCCUGGGGUCCCCAGUGCCCCUGCCCAUCGGCCCAGAGAAAGGAGGGCUGGAGAGGGCGGGUUCCUGGCCUCUGCUGGCUGGGCCUGUUAGAAUUCAAGGGUGGGCCGUCUUCUGUGUUUCAGGCUCCAGGACACUCAGGGUCAUCAACUUUGUUAAAUUUCUAAUCAGAAAAGUUCUGACUCUAGCACGACGGUGUUUCCCUUUCAUACAGGAUCAUGAGCCUCCCAGGUGAUGGUGAAAAUUGUAAAAUUUUAUUUAAAAUACAUUUAUUCCUUCAUUAUGAAAGUAACAGAGAGAAGGAACACAUUUCUGAAGCCAACAUGGUCUGUUAGUUAAUUAAAAUUAUAAAGUUUAAAAUGGUGAAAGUGAUAAUAAAAAAUAAGGAAGCAGACAUACUUUGCAUAUAUUUUUAACUUAAAACUUAUAAAUAUGCAUUAAUUCUUAAUAAGUUCAUGAGAUUUACUUUUCAUACAAUGAAAUCUUCAGAUUCUGACUGUACGUGCUGAUAAGUUCUGAUAAAGGUGCACAAUCAAUGGAGAUGCAUCAAGUUUCCAUCACGCUAGAAAGGCCCCUCUCCCCUCUGGUCAAUAUCCCACCCGGGGCCGCCUCACACCCAGAGUGACCUCACAACCAGGGCCACUGCUCACCUAGGGCCACUGCACAACCAGAGCCACAGCACACCCGGGGCCACAGCACACCCAGAGUGACCUCACAACCAGGGCCACUGCUCACCCGGGGCCACCACACACCCAGGGCCACAGCACACCCGGGGCCACAGCACACCCAGAGUGACCUCACAACCAGGGCCACUGCUCACCUAGGGCCACCGCACACCCAAGGCCACCGCACACCCAGGGCCACAGCACACCCAGAGUGACCUCACAACCAGGGCCACUGCACACCUGGGGCCACUGCACACCCAGAGUGACCUCACAACCAGGGCCACUGCUCACCCAGGGCCACCGCACAACCAGGGCCACAGCACACCCAGAGUGACCUCACAACCAGGGCCACUGCUCACCUAGGGCCACCGCACAACCAGGGCCACAGCACACCCAGAAUGACCUCACAACCAGGGCCACUGCUCACCCGGGGCCACUGCACACCCAAGGCCACCGCAUACCUGGGGCCACCCUCUGCUUCCUCUGUCAUCGUUUGGGCAGCUCUGGCCUUGACUGUAUUUUCGUGUAGGGUGGAGACUAGUCAGCCGGUCAGGACUGGAGUCUUAUUUUCAUUUUUGGUAUAAACCACGUGCUUACUUCAUCCCCUAAGAUACCCACUUUUGGUACUUUUUUUUAAGUACCAGGACUGAGACUUGAAUAUGUUUGUAAAGUCACCUGAGACCAGAAAUCUUCCAAAUUUUCACAAGUUGCUUUUCGUAUUUUGAGGUAUCUUGUCUGCAGCUAAUUCAAAAGCAAUUUUUAAAGUGACUUCACUUGCCUUUGUCUUGAUUUCCCAAACUGUGUAUUGUAGAAACGACUUUCUCUCCUUUUACACGAUGCGUAGCUGGUUUAUGUAACGUUUGGUCAAGUUACGCGGUAGAGCAAGAGCAAGUGGCGUAGAUGGGUGGGCGCGACCUGACCGCGUGGUUGGUGUCACCCCCACUGACACCUGCGUCUUACCGGGCUGCUGAGCCCCGAGACCAGAGCCGCCUGAGCUGGUGGAGCAGAGGUUGGUGUGCGAUAGGUUCUCGCACACAAAUGAAUAACAACAGAUGGGAACACACACACUGGUCCUACACUCCGAGGCAUCUCUGCACAACGCCUGCCGUGUGGUUUCCCAGCCUCACGUGUGUGUGUGUGUGUGUGUGUGUGUGUGUGUGUACGGUUAGCCUUGCUGCAGGGCCCAAGGGAGCCGCCUGUGCCCCCAAAACUGCCUUCGCUCUGACAGUGACCACACGGAAUGAGGUUCUCUGCCCGGUGCACAUAAACAGCCACUAGUCGGGCAUCAGCCUUUGCGAAGAGACCAGCUUUAUUCUGCGAGGCCGACCUGCAGGGAGGCAGGGGGCCCUCAUCUGUCUCCCCAGAGCAGGAUUUGGGGUGAAAUUUAGGGGGUCUAGACAACAGUUAGGCACGCGCAAACUCUGGGGGGACGGGUUUCCAUUGCUGGGCUUCAAGCAUUUAUGACGGGGUUCUAACUGUUUACGACGGGGCUCUAGACAUUCUCUGUGAAUUUUAACACUGGAUCUUCCUGAACCAGGGCCCUCGCUUCUGAUGAGAGCCCGACCUUCAAACUCCGGUCGCAUUCUGUCCUUGGGUUCCGUGGGAAGGGGGAUCUUCGGUUCCACGGUCAUUUCAAGUCAAGAUUUCCUCUUCUGCGCGUGCUCUGGCCACGUGACUUGGCACGUUUCCUGUUUCCUGAAAGGCGAUUCUCAACCUCUCUGUUGAUAAGAGAUGGCUCAGUUGACCUGGUGCUGGCGGGCCUGCGGUUACACCGCCAGCCGCAGGCUCGGGAUCCCCAAGGCGGUGCUUGGUGUGACAGCUCUCUGGAAGGGCCUGGAGCUCGCUGAGAGCUGAACCACGCAUGGCCAUGGUUCGUCACAGGGAAGGGACACAGAUGAAAACCGGCUCAGGAGAGGCGCCCGGGCAGAGUCUGAGUCCCCAGAUGCGGAGCACCCCCCUUCUUCCCAGCUCACCCCACAGACACCUUCCUGGAACGGAACUUGGAUAGCGGCAUGUGGGUGUGGUUCCAGAUGCAGACUCUGAGAUGAGAUUUGUAUGAAGGACAUGCUCCCCGGAAACGUGGCUGGGAGUGGGGAGUGGACGGGGAUGGGGAGGAGGCGCAUGCAGGCCUGUGGAGGGACAAGGGCUCCAUCCCGUGGAGGAACUCCGGACUCUGCAGGUCAUGGCUCGCAGGUGUCCCCAUCUGGAGGUGAGUGGCUUUGAGUGUUUGUGCCCCUGCCUGGCAGUCACCUGUUAAGGGUUGUAAAUCGCGACAACCCCAGCCCUCAGGAGCUCAGGGAAGGGCCCUCCUGUGGCCGGAGGGCGGCCCUCUGUCAAAGAUCCCGAUGAUGCCCCAUGGGAGUGGGGUCCUAGAGCCCAGGGGUGUGAGAUGGCGGAUGGAGACCUGGACGCGCAUCUGUGGCCGUUAUCAUCAGAGACCCCGCAUCCAGAGGGGCUAAUGGUUUUCUCCUCAGACAAGUGAGGGCUCCUGGUGUGACUGUCCGACCUCACGUGCCAGUGGGGUCAGCACCCGGCCCAGAAGCAGCAGCUCAGCAGCCACCUGCCGUCACCCUCGCCCCGACUGUGGUCACAGUGUCCCCACACCUGGGCAGAGAUGGGGCAGUGUUUUCUCUCCUUCAGAUGCCGCCCAGGCCCAGGCUUUGCCCCAGAGCCUGGGGGCCGUGACAAGAUCACCACGGACUGCAGGACUGCCUGCUGUCUGCUCCAUCCCACACAGACUGUUCCCCCGUCCUCCCUCCUGUCUGGUUUGAGAUGCCAGCCUCCGUCAUCCUGACCCCCCAGUGGUCACAGCCCCGGCUUUGGGCAAAGAGCUUUUCGAGGCGGUGGUUCCACGUGGCCUCCCUGGAGAUGCCCUGAUGAGCCAUAGUCUCACUGUCUUCCUCAUAAUCUGCAGCCCGCUCAGAACAAAAUGAAAGGCCCCACUUUGCAUUUAUUCUCCUUUCUUCCCGGUCACCCCCCACUCCUGUUCCCCUGGAUUGCAGCCCGCACCCCACCCCUAGUAAUUGGUCCCGGCUCAGUUUUCCAAAGGACCCCCGGCCAGGGCACGAGGUGGCCUCACACAGCGUCCUGGCCACACAGACAGAACUGUGUUUGCUGUCAGCAGCCUGCUAGAAAAACUGUGAAAAAUGAAAAUGGGAAAAAUUGGAAAAACCACUGCUGUGUGUCCGGCUCCCCCUGGAUUGUGAUUCUACUGGGACCUGUGCCUUUCAUCCUCUUUGAGCUAUUUUACAACUCUCAGGCUGCAGAAAGCUUGAACUAAUGCAGAUAAUUCUUGCCUGUAGAAAUGCAAAUAAAUUUUGUCUGUUCAAAUGAAAUUGAUUAUCACCCUGUAGGGAUUGACCCAUUUCGCAUCUAUUUGUAAAUUUAUUUCAGCAUUUCUGAUUGUCUGCAUGUGAAUGGGUCUGGAUUCUGCUGUGAACUGGUUGUAACAUCUUACUGGUUCCCUCGUUAAUUCAUGAGUUAAACAAACUGCAACGUGUGCAUUUUAUGUUUGCAUAAGUCAUGAUUUUACUUUGAAAAGAAAUCACCCUUUCACAGUGCCCCCAACCCGUGCCUGGAGUCACCCUGGGGAAGGUUCAGGAGGCUCCUCAUUGCUUAUUUCUCAUUCAUGCAGAAGGCAGCACGUUCCGACUGUUCCCCAUCUUCUGACUUGUCCUCUAGCAAAGGGGGCGGAAUGUGUGACCCCGGAAAUGCCACUUGGGCGAGAUUGUUUGAGCUGAAGACCCUGGAAAAACAGCAGGUGCCAGAAGAGUGUUCUGAGCCCCCUUCCUUCCUGAGGGCAGGAGGUAAACCAGGGAGGAAGGUGUCGCCCCGCGCCGGGAGGAGGGAACCGUCAGCUCCAGAGGGGAGCCUCCGAGAAUUCUGUGCAGCUGACCUCACCAGAGUCACUCUCGUCUCCGUGCUCUCUCCAGGUGUCUCUGUUACUUUCCUCAAUCUCCUCUCCUCCUUCGACCCAGCGAAAAGCAUUUGGUUUUGCCGCUUCCCUGGGUCUCUAUCACCCUCAUGAGGCCCCCGUGUCACUAAAACUUACGCUACGUGAACCUGGAUGCUUUCCUCCAGCUGCUGUCUCAGCAGCUCAACUCUCAGGCCGCCGGGCCCCGCGAGGUGGAGGUGACGAUUUCCCUCCCCAACGCUGGGCUCUGCACACGACCAGAGUGGGGCCUGUCUGUCCCGCCUUUCACUGUCCCAGCUGGGGCUCGGAGUGCACCAUCAAUGUCCGUGGUGUCCGUCCCGGGCCCCGUGUCAACCCAACCCCAGGGGCCUGCACGUCUUCCCGUCUCCUCCUCGUGACCCCUUUCUUCGCGUUUGUGUCAUUCAGUCCACGGUUCGGCUUCUCAACACCCAUGUUUGUGGGUCCCUGAGUGUGGCCUUCACCUCAGGAUGGGACCCAAAGGAAAAAACAGGAAGGAUUUGUAAGUCUAACCUCACUUGAAAAUAGUACAUGAGCGACAAGCAGAUCACAGAGCUAUGACAGUUACGUAAGAAGUCCAGUACCUCAAUGAGUAAAGAGCUUUAAGAGACGAACAACAAAAUGGACCACAGGGCCUGGGCAUAAGUGUCACAAGGGAGGAAAAGACAAAUCGAAACACGUUCCUCUUCUCCCAUCAGAGGGCAGAGCUGCAGGGCCUCACCACCCUGUUGGCAGGAGAACCUGAAGGGGUGCGAAUGGGCCUCCCAUCUGCCCUGAGGUCGAGGCUGUCGCCUGCGUGGAUCUGGGCCUUGUCCUGCAGAGUCACUGGGAGAAAUACCAACCUCGUCCAAAAUAAGAGGACAGCGCCUCUCGUCCGGCUGCGGCCUCCUGAGCUUCUGGUGUCUCCUCUCUGUGUGCCCCCCGCGGGGCUCCAUCCCUGUCUCCUCGUCUGUCUGUCCAUCUGUCCUGCAGGCAGGGAGGCUGCCCUCACUCCCCCUUCUCCUGGCUCCUCAGUGGGCUCAGGGUCUGGCUUGUCUGUCCUGUGGGUUUGGCCUCUCCAGCCUCUUCCCGUUCUCUAUCCACCCUGACCCGGUUCCUCAGGAGACAAGGCCGGGGUGAGUGGUGGGGCCGGGGUCAGAGGGGUGGUGGGACCGAGGGCAUCUGUGCAAAAUCAACGUGUUGAAACGUCUAACUGCGUGUGUUCACUUUAUGUUUUUCCUCUCACCCUCAUUUCAAGUCUGUGGUUUUCGUAAUUCUGUGGUUCAAGGCUCGGACGUCUUAUAAAUCAGAAUUCCCCUGAGGUUAACGGGUACCAGACUCAUGAAAGGAAAACCUGGCGGGGGUCGUGCAGGGAGAGCCUUGGAGAAGCUCUGACCUAAAGACGCAUCCAGAGACCGUUUCUCACCAGCUCUGGGUAAUCAGCACAACCAGGGAAGAGGCCCCUCCCUGUGUCUCCCCAGACUUUCCCGGCCGCCAGAGACUAUCAACAUGCCGCUGUUUGCCCGGUAGUGUUAUUGUUUCCCUCUCUCCUUCUUCGUUUAUUAAUACGAAUUUUUCUGUGGGGAGACAGUGUUUCUUCUCCCACGUUUGCUUGUUUGAAUGUGUGUUUAUAUCGAUGUGGACUCAUGGACAUUCCAGUCUGUGGGUGGUGAUCCAACAGUGUUGUUAUUUUUUCCUCAGAUCUUUCCAGCUUUGCCAUUGGGAGCCCUGUCAGAUGCCUGAUAUUUACUGCGUGAUGUCCUCGGGGCCACCCUGCUUCCCAACGUCCCCUGGGCAGGCGAGAUGUGGGGUUGGUGUCCCCGGGGAAGAGGGAGUCAUCGGAUCCUGGCCCCUGGAGGGCGUUAUUGCACAGAGCCAAAAUCAAAAGACAAACACAGUGAUAACAAUGGCGCUAACAGUUUCCGUCUACUGAGUAUCAGGUGCCCUGAGCACUCGGGCACAUUUCUUACUAAACCUCACUUUACAUAAACCCACGGUCUCAGUUCCCUCAUCCUGGUUCUGCACAAGAGGGAACCGCGUCUGGGGCUGCAGGGCCUCAGCUCGGUUCAUCCGCCUGAAGGUGGGGGCUUCCUCCGUGGUGGUGGUUUCCACUGGGACCCUCGUCACCAUCACCGACACCAGCACUGACUGUGCCCCAGGUCCCUUAACACGCGCCCCACCCCAGGGGCUUGGGCAGCUGGUGAAGACAGCUUUCUGUGCUCACACUGGCACACGCUGCUGCCUGCUUCCUCGUGGACCUCGGAGCUAAAAAUAACCACGUGUUUUCUGUUUUAAUGGAAAAGAGGAAGUGUGCCAUUUAUUGCAUAACACUUACUAUUUUUGAAAACCCGAAUUUUUUCCACAUGUACUUUUAAAAAGUCCUUGGAGGAAAAGGCACAAAGUGGAUUUCACGGAGGGUUGCUCUCUUCGUAACCCAGAUCCUCAAGAAACAACUGAAUCAGACACGAGGCGGAGAUGGCAACCUUC